rnacentral:rRNA from 1 species
AUAGCUUAACUUACGAUUCCAGUAGACUGAUAACUGAGACCGGGAAGUAGAGUACUCUGGGUAGAGGUGAAAUUCGUAAUCCUAGGGGACCACCGGUGGCGAAGGCGUCUGACUAAAACCGGUCUGACGGGAGGGACGAAGCCCUGGGGCGCAAACGGGAUUAGAUACCCCGGUAGUCCAGGGUGUAAACGCUGCUUGCUUGAUGUUAGUCGGGCUUCGAGCCCGAUUAGUGUCGGAGAGAAGUUGUUAAGCAAGCUGCCUGGGAAGUACGGCCGCAAGACUGAAACUUAAAGGAAUUGGCGGGGGAGCACAGCAACGGGUGGAGCGUGCGGUUUAAUUGGAUUCAACGCCGGAAAGCUCACCGGAGGCGACGGUUACAUGAAGGCCAGGUUGAUGACCUUGCUAGAUUUUCCGAGAGGUGGUGCAUGGCCGCCGUCAGUUCGUACCGUAAGGCGUUCUGUUAAGUCAGACAACGAACGAGACCCUCAUCUUUAAUUGCUAUUGGCAAGUCCGCUUGUCAAGCACAUUAAAGAAACCGCUGGCGAUAAGUCAGAGGAAGGCGAGGGCAACGGUAGGUCAGUAUGCCCUGAAUCCUCCGGGCUACACGCGCGCUACAAAGGCUAGGACAAUGGGCUCGACACCGAAAGGUGAAGGUAAUCCCGAAACCUAGUUAAAGUUCGGAUCGAGGGUUGAAACUCACCCUCGUGAAGAUGGAAUCCGUAGUAAUCGCGGGUCAACAUCACGCGGUGAAUA